rnacentral:rRNA from 1 species
GGCGGACGGGUGAGUAAUGCCUAGGAGUCUGCCUGGUAGUGGGGGAGAACGUUCCGAAGGGGACGCUAAUACCGCAUACGUCCUACGGGAGAAAGCAGGGGACCUUCGGGCCUUGCGCUAUCAGAUGAGCCUAGGUCGGAUUAACUAGUUGGUGAGGUAAUGGCUCACCAAGGCGACGAUCCAUAACUGGUCUGAGAGGAUGAUCAAUCACACUGGAACUGAGACACGGUCCAGACUCCUACGGGAGGCAGCAGUGGGGAAUAUUGGACAAUGGGCGAAAGCCUGAUCCAGCCAUGCCGCGUGUGUGAAGAAGGUCUUCGGAUUGUAAAGCACUUUAAGUUGGGAGGAAGGGCAGUAAAUUAAUACUUUGCUGUUUUGACGUUACCGACAGAAUAAGCACCGGCUAACUCUGUGCCAGCAGCCGCGGUAAUACAGAGGGUGCAAGCGUUAAUCGGAAUUACUGGGCGUAAAGCGCGCGUAGGUGGUUUGUUAAGUUGGAUGUGAAAGCCCCGGGCUCAACCUGGGAACUGCAUUCAAAACUGACGAGCUAGAGUAUGGUAGAGGGAUGGUGGAAUUUCCUGUGUAGCGGUGAAAUGCGUAGAUAUAGGAAGGAACACCAGUGGCGAAGGCGACCACCUGGACUGAUACUGACACUGAGGUGCGAAAGCGUGGGGAGCAAACAGGAUU